GUCAUCUUUUCAUCAACUGCUUCUUCUUCCAACAAAUGGCAAGCUGUACAUAAGUUUACUGGCUUCCCUAACUUCCAGAGUCUUUCAGAUCUCCCUGUGAGGUACCCUGCUAUCUUGUGUGCUGACAACACUAUAGACAUCACAGAAAUAAUGGAAAUUCAAUUUCAGAAAUCUUUUAUGGAAAAGAAAGUAAACAAGUUCUUUGUAGCGCCAGCCUGCCCUACUCCCAGCUGUUGAGUCCCAAUGUCUGCUCAGCCUGAGUGCCUCCAAGAGCACCACCUGGCCAGAAGACACUGGAAGGUUACUACUACAUGAUCCUUUCCCUCCUCCACAUAUUCAGAGCCUUCCACAAAGAGCACAAGUUUCUGUGUACCCAGGACAUGGAGUGGACUGGAUUACUGGAUCACUGUAUUUGAAGCCUAGAAACACCUCUCAUGAGUAAGAAAUGUCAGGACAUGUUGCAUUACAUAUGUUGCAUUACAACCUUACAGUGGCUGAAAAGGAAGGGCAGAAGGCUUUUAAACAACAUCUACACUGAUGCCCUCUACAUCUGCAAAGUCAUGUGGCUAGUAAAUAUAUGGAACAGUUUAUCAUAUAGUAAGCAUUGAUUCCACCAGAGAGUAAGUACAAGAAAAAGCAUGGAUAGGGCAAGUUACAAGAAUAAUUUGUGUCUCAAGUGUUAAUUGUAGUGUUUGGGUCUCAAGUGCUUGUGUCUGAGUUCUCGAGUUCAUGUCUCAAUUUAUGUUUCAAGUGUUAAUUGAAAAUCUCCUUUCAAAAAUCAGCUAUAAAGACAC